rnacentral:rRNA from 1 species
UACAGAGGUCUCGAGCGUUGUUCGGAUUCAUUGGGCGUAAAGGGUGCGUAGGCGGCGCGGUAAGUCGGGUGUGAAAUCUCGGAGCUUAACUCCGAAACUGCAUUCGAUACUGCCGUGCUUGAGGACUGGAGAGGAGACUGGAAUUUACGGUGUAGCGGUGAAAUGCGUAGAUAUCGUAAGGAAGACCAGUGGCGAAGGCGGGUCUCUGGACAGUUCCUGACGCUGAGGCGCGAAAGCUAGGGUAGCAAACGGG